UAGAGACUAGUACAGUUCACUGGAGCAUGGUGCCUUUUACCUCUCUUUUCAGGAGCUGGACAGAAGUUUGUAUUACAGGCUCGUAGCACCGGAGGUUUCUGAUGGAGCAGACAACUUGAGGAAGGCCGGCCUUGCUGAACACAAUGGACUGACCGGGUCUGGACCCCUCCCCCACAGGUGACUGUGCACUGCAGGAGAGAGAAGAGGAAGGAGUCAAACACUCUGCUGAGGUUGCAGAACACUAGGAGACAAGACAGGAUGUGUAAAAGUGAAGACUACCAAGGUCAAAUCUUCUGAACAGAUGCACAUGAAACAGGAGGGAUGGGAUUACACAAGGUCAACCAUACUCGCUCAUCGUAAAGAUACAGCAGCCAAGUACCUCAUGCUAUAGGACACAACAGAGUCUGUGAAUCAUGCGAAGGGGUUGCUAAGUCAGGGCAAGGCGAGAAUUCCUCAACUGGCUUCCUCUGCAUCCUCCUCUUGGCUGGAUUUAGUUUCUGUAAAUGGAAAGCAAGUCAAACUUCUCUCCUUCCCAAGGCACUGUGCUCUCCCUGGAAUACCAGAAAGCUAUUGGAAAUGUUCUCAAGAAACACUGGAUAUAAGAAAAACCUCAUAAUCUAUGACUAAAUGAAACAGUGUGAAGAGAUGUCUGUAACGUGAUUUCAGUACAGAGGGAUACAAAUGAUACUCACGGUAUGUGAGUCUGUCAAACACAUGUUUGCUUACAUGUACAUACGGGAAAAAUAAAAUUAUAGAGACCAAACUAUUAA